ensembl:lncRNA
AGUGAAGUGAUCUGGGCUUCCACUGGGGGCUUCCAGCUUUUAAAAACUCCCUGGGUGAUUAGUGUGCAGCCAAGUUUGGGUACUAUUGGUUUAAUCCAUCAUUUUUACAGGUUUGGAGAGGGGUUUUGGGGGGUAGGGGUGGAGGUGGGAAGUGGGCAAUAGGGGGUGUCACAGAUGUCGAAUUGGAUAAAAACUUUUGUCCCUCAAUCCAGGCACUUGCAUUUAGAUGUAAAACCUGGCAUAGUAUUUCAGGGUAUUUACAGAUCCCAGGAAGUGAACCAGGGAAUGCCUGUGAGCCGUGUGGUCCCCAAGUGAGAAAAGUCCAGCUGCAGGAGUGUCCACCUCCAAUCGGGGUGACAGGAGCUCUCUUGUCCUAUCCAGAAUGGUGCUGGCCCUUUGUCUCAGUCUUUUUGUGCUGUAAUAACAAAGUACCCAAGACUGGGUAAUUUGUAAAAAGCAAAACAACAACAACAAACCAGGAAUUUAUUUCCCACAGCUUCUGAAGUCUGGGAAGUCCAAGCUCAAGGUGAAGUCUCCUCAGGUGGCAGAGAGCAGAAGCACACAAGAGACCAAACUCCCUCCCUCAAGCUCUUUUACAAGAACACUCAGACAUUCACAAGAGCUGAACCCUCAAGCCUACUCACCUCCUGAAGGCUACACCUCUAAUACGGAUUGAACUUUCGCAUGAGUUUUGAGGGAGAGCCAUUCAAAGCCUAGCACCCUUCGACUUCAGAGAAGCUCCGGCCCUGCUCUCACCAAGCCGGUUCCCCUUAGGCAGAGCGCCAAGAAGCAGCCCAGGCGAUCCCAAGGCUCACAAGUGCUCUCAUCAGGCUGCGCGCUGGCCGGUCAGUGCACCAGGGCAGGGCCGCCGCCCACGCGCGCUUGGUUCAGGCAGUCCAGGCUGCCCCCACUGGCGGCUACAAAAGCGCGCCGAGUCUUCCUGUCCACCCAGUCGCCCCACAUGUCAGCGGUUGGUCGCCUCGCGGUGCAGCGCUGGGCACGCAAGCCCCUCCCGCAGCCAUUCGCAGCACAAGCACCACCCGCAGCGACAGAGCUAAGAGCCCCCACGCCGCAGAGGUCGCGCGGAGCAGAUUUGAUGGAGUGAAACAGAGCCCAGCUGCUGGAGCAGAGGCACCUGCUCGAGUCCCACGGACACCCGCAGCCCAAUCCCCGGAGGCCAGUGGGGCUCACGGUGACUGAGUUCAAUAUGAUCAGAAUUGAACCAUUUCAAAAAGCAGCGCAAGUGGCAACUGCUAGAAACCAGACUAACUGAGUUUGAUCCCCCUCUUCUGCUCCUUCCCUCUGAUGGAAUUCUCAUUUUCCCUGGCCUCCCACAUUGACAUUCAUCCAAUGCCCAUGCUGCUGGAUCAGCCUUCCUGGAGCCACAUCCAGCUUAGAAAGAUGAAGGGUUUCCAACCUUUUUGGAGAUGACAAUGUGUUAUCAAAAUCAACAAAUUAAUAGAUUUGCUUCCUUUGUGUAUUUUUUGCAAUGUUCUGUGAGAUAUCAAGCCACUUUCCUGGUAGUUUCUUAUUCAGUAUUUCACCGAACUGCUUUAAUAAAAGAUGGUCAGGCCUCAACCCUAACAGUCACUUUCAGAUCUUGUUAAUAAGUUGGGUUUAUAAUCUGAUACAGGUUUUGAGAUGGCCCUGAGAACUUAGGUUUUUCGUAGGCUCUCUGGGCAACUUUCAUGGGGCAGAGGUUUAGAAAGCUGGGAACAAUCUGCCAGGCAUCGAGAAGCCACUAGAUGGCAGGGCCAUCCCUUGGAGCCCAUUCUUCAAUCUAGAAAGUGGUCAGAGAGGAAACCUGUGGAGUGGGGAAGAGUCCAAGUAGACACGUUAAAUGCAAGUUAAUAAGUGGAUGGU